ACGGAGGGUGCGAGCGUUAAUCGGAAUUACUGGGCGUAAAGCGCGCGUAGGCGGUUGAUUAAGUCGGAUGUGAAAGCCCUGGGCUUAACCUGGGAACUGCAUUCGAUACUGUUCGACUAGAGUACGAGAGAGGGAGGUAGAAUUCCACGUGUAGCGGUGAAAUGCGUAGAUAUGUGGAGGAAUACCGGUGGCGAAGGCGGCCUCCUGGCUCGAUACUGACGCUGAGGUGCGAAAGCGUGGGGAGCAAACAGG
rnacentral:rRNA from 1 species